AGGGCUAUAGCUCAGUUAGGUAGAGCAACUCGUUUACUCUACGGUUCGAGUCCGUAUAGCCCUA
rnacentral:tRNA from 1 species